rnacentral:lncRNA from 1 species
UAGCAAUCAAACGAAGGCACGAAGCGCAAAGCAACAGAGUUGCUGCUGAUGCUGCUGUGGCGGCGGCGGCGAUGACGACGACGACUCGUGAAUGCGUACGACACUGGAACUCGCGCAACCGCCAACAGUAAGGAUAGUAACGAACUGCCAGAAAGAACGAAGGCCAGCGAAAAAAUCGUAGCAUAGGCAUCCUCCUUUUUUUCCCCGGGCCCCCUCUUCCCCAAGAAGGGGGACCCAACAGUCAAAACACACACGCGACCGGCCUUCCCUCCACACCGGGGAAACAGAUGAUGUACGGUUACAACCUUGCCCACAAUAUAAAACCGACGACUUUUUACAAAUGGACAUUGCAAC